rnacentral:lncRNA from 1 species
UGCCACACCUACCAACAAAUGCCGCUAAAUUACCUCCUUAUAUAUAUAUAUUUGGGGGCCAACAACCUGGAACUAAGUCGUAGAGAUUUAGAACCUAGCAUGCAAUUUACUCUACCACAGGACAAUGAAUUAUAUGUAUGUGAACCCCACAAAUGACUGUUCCCACAAGGAACUAUAUAAUGACAUGAGCAGUCUCUAGCAUGUGUUUUUCAUGUUUGUCGACAUGUGCAUGUAGAUUUAGC